UCAGACGAUGCGUCAUGCAUAUCAAUAAGCGGAGGAAAAGAAACUAACAAGGAUUCCCUCAGUAACGGCGAGUGAAGCGGGAAGAGCUCAAAUUUGAAAUCUUCAAGGGUUCUACCUUGACGAAUUGUAGUUUAAAGAAGUGUUUUCUGUUAGAGUUUCGGUAAAAGUUCUUUGGAAUAGGACAUCAUAGAGGGUGAGAAUCCCGUAUUUGACCAGUUAUUUCUAGCUUUGUGAUACACUUUCAAAGAGUCGGAUUGUUUGGGAAUGCAGUCCAAAAUGGGUGGUAAAUUUCAUCUAAAGCUAAAUAUUGGCGAGAGACCGAUAGCGAACAAGUACCGUGAGGGAAAGAUGAAAAGAACUUUGAAAAGAGAGAUUAAACAGUACGUGAAAUUGUCAAAAGGGAAGCGUUUGACACCAGUGUUGUUUUCUCGAAAAUCAAUUAAAAAAGGCAGGAUUUUGUGUUGUAUUGACUUUAUCAGCCUUCUGCACUCUUUUCUUGUCUUUUUUUAAUGCACUUUUCGUUUAACAAGUCAACAUCAAUUUCUUUUGUUGUAAAAGGGUCAUUGGAAGGUGGCUUUCUUUUCGGAGAAAGUGUUUAUAGCCUUUGGCCUCUGCAAUCGGAGAGAUUGAGGUCUGCAGCGUAGAUCCUUCGGGGUUAGAUACAUUUGUGCUGAGUUAUAGCCUUUCAUAGACAACUUGUUGACUAUGAUCAGUCAUGUAGCUUACUCGCUUAUGCUAUUUUACCUACGCUUAGGAUGUUGAUCUACAGAGCGAGAGU
rnacentral:rRNA from 1 species